UACGUAGGGACCGAGCGUUGUCCGGAAUCAUUGGGCGUAAAGAGCGUGUAGGCGGCCCCUUAAGUCCUGCGUGAAAUCCUGCGGCUCAACCGCAGACGGUCGUGGGAAACUGGAGGGCUAGAGUGCGGGAGAGGAGAGUGGAAUUCCCGGUGUAGCGGUGAAAUGCGCAGAUAUCGGGAAGAACACCCGUGGCGAAGGCGGCUCUCUGGAACGUAACUGACGCUGAGACGCGAAAGCGUGGGGAGCAAACAGG
rnacentral:rRNA from 1 species